rnacentral:rRNA from 1 species
AAACGUAGGAGGCAAGCGUUAUCCGGAUUUACUGGGCGUAAAGCGCGUGCAGGCGGUACGGUAAGUUGGGAUGUGAAAGCUCCCGGCUUAACUGGGAGAGGUCGUUCAAUACUGCCGUACUUGAGGAUAGGAAGGGGAGGUGGAAUUCCGGGUGUAGUGGUGAAAUGCGUAGAUAUCCGGAGGAACACCAGUGGCGAAGGCGGCCUCCUGGCCUAUUUCUGACGCUCAGACGCGAAAGCUAGGGGAGC